rnacentral:ncRNA from 1 species
GCAGAGUAGGACGAUGUGCGUUAAGUGUCGGCUGGACGGGGAGUUGCCAGCCGGACGAAAGGCAGUAUGCUUGCGGUACAUCGUCCGCAUCCCGCUGC